rnacentral:siRNA from 1 species
GUGAUUCUCUGUGUAAGC